rnacentral:rRNA from 1 species
CCUACGGGAGGCAGCAGUGAGGAAUAUUGGUCAAUGGCCGUAAGGCUGAACCAGCCAAGUCGCGUGAAGGAAGAAGGAUCUAUGGUUUGUAAACUUCUUUUAUAGGGGAAUAAAGGUAUCCACGUGUGGAUAUUUGCAUGUACCCUAUGAAUAAGCAUCGGCUAACUCCGUGCCAGCAGCCGCGGUAAUACGGAGGAUGCGAGCGUUAUCCGGAUUUAUUGGGUUUAAAGGGUGCGUAGGUUGUUUUUUAAGUCAGCGGUGAAAGUUUGUGGCUCAACCAUAAAAUUGCAGAUGAAAUUGGAAGACUUGAGUGUGUUUGAGGUAGGCGGAAUGCGCGGUGUAGCGGUGAAAUGCAUAGAUAUCACGCAGAACACCGAUUGCGAAGGCAGCUUACUAAGCCAUAACUGACACUGAGGCACGAAAGCGUGGGGAUCGAACAGGAUUAGAUACCCCUGUAGUC